GAAGAAGAAGAAGAAUGGCGUUGGCGUUAACGUAGGACUCGGACGCUGACGUUUCGCCUAUGUGGUAGUGUAGUCUGGCUGCCUGACCACAGGGUCAUUGACUCAAACUGGUUAACAACAUGGCUGCGUUAAAGUUUUGUGCGAAUAUUUCCUGGCUGUUUACUGAGCAUCCAGACUUCAGCCAGAGAAUAUACGCGGCUGCUUCUGCCGGGUUUCAAGCUGUGGAAGCAGCUUGGCUUUACGAUUCGGACCUGUCGGAGCUCCAGAAAGCCAAGGAGGCAACGAGAGUGGAAGUCGUUCUUAUCAACACCCCACCAGGGGAUAUCAAGGCAGGUGACCUCGGUUUGGGAGCAGUUCCAGGGAGAGAGCUGGAGUUUAGAAAAGGGCUGGAUCUUACUCUGAAGUAUGCAAAAGCUUUGAACUGCAAGAGAAUUCACCUAAUGGCAGGAAGGAUUCCAGUGGAUGCUCACAGAGCUGCGAUUGCAAGAGAAAUGGAGGAUGUCUUUGUGCAGAACCUAAACUAUGCAGCUGGUAUCUUGGCCAAGGAAGGAAUCACUGGAUUGAUUGAGCCAAUCAACACAAGAAUUACAGACCCCCGCUACUUUCUGGACUCCCCUCAUCAAGCUGCAGCAAUACUGGAGAAGGUUGGCAAGUCCAACAUCCAGCUACAGAUGGACAUAUUUCACUGGCAAAUAAUGGAUGGAAAUCUGACAAAAAACAUGCACAAAUAUUUUCCCAUAAUAGGCCAUGUUCAGAUUGCACAGGUUCCAGGCAGGAAUGAACCCGACAGUGAUGGAGAGCUGUGCUACAGAUACCUGUUGAACACACUGGAAAAGCUUGGCUAUCAAGGAUACAUUGGCUGUGAAUACAAGCCACUUGGAGUCAGUGGAUAAAGCCUGUGGACGAAAUACCUGCGUUAUACUGAGUUUGCAGCAGAGGUUCAGCAGCCUGAAGUCCACCAUGUGGAGGUUUGGUGCUGAGGAUUUGUAGCAAUGCCUACCUCAAAAAGACUUGGCAGCUGGAGGCUGGGAGCUACCAGAGCUAUGUUGGCGUCUCAUGAGAAAAGGAGUCAGUGGCUGUGGAUAAAGAGAACAGCACUGCAAGAAUUGAUCACCCUUCACUGGCCAGUGAAACGGCCAAAACACUGUGACCCUGACGUAUACUGAAGAUGUUCCUAUAAAUGAACUUUUGUGAAGAUGUCAUCCUUCAUCAACCCAAGUAUCCAUUGCUCCUUGGUCUUGGCUGUACCAGGACCAGUGUGGUGCCCUGUGCACACCGUCAGUCGCUCCACCCUGCUCCUGUAGGCAGACUCAUCCAAUCAUGAGAAGCUGGUCUGGUGUUCUGUUUGUCUGGGAUUCUUUCCUGGAGGAGGGCAUCAGCUGAGAUAAUGCUGCCAUCAAGUUAUUUGUUUCUUCUUAUGCAUUCUGCUCUCUGUUCUCAAACCCCCAGUCAGUUGUGUCAGAUGGCCACUUGAACUGAGCCAGGUUCUGGUUCUGCUGGAGGUUUCUUCCUGUUAAAAAGGAUUUUUUCCUCUCUACUGUCACUACAUGCAUUCUUGGUAUGAGGCAUUUUUGUAAAGUCAAUGUCACACGUGACUGUCACUAUGUGCUCAUCCAGGAGGAGUGAAUACUGCAGAUCAAUGACUCAAUGCAAUAUGCUGGGUUUCUUUAGAGAGAAACUUUUUAAACUACUUUGAAAAUAAAUUGAGCAUACUCUACUGGGAUCAUAACUAGGAUCAACGGGAAUGUAUGUAUGACUGAACUGAUAUGAUUUUUGCACAGUGCUUUGAAAUGACAUUUGUUGUGAAUUGGCACUAUACAAAUAAAACUGAACUGAACUAAGUUCAUGCUUAAUGUUGGGUCAAUUUUAAAGAAAGUCAUAGUUUGUAAAAUGAGGAAUAAUUACAUUUCAGCUGACAAGUAAAAAGUACAGUU